rnacentral:rRNA from 1 species
AUUGAACGCUGGCGGCAUGCCUUACACAUGCAAGUCGAACGGCAGCACGGGAGCAAUCCUGGUGGCGAGUGGCGAAUGGGUGAGUAAAGUAUCGGAACGUGCCCAGUCGUGGGGGAUAACGUAGCGAAAGUUACGCUAAUACCGCAUACGAUCUAUGGAUGAAAGCGGGGGAUCGCAAGACCUCGCGCGAUUGGAGCGGCCGAUAUCAGAUUAGGUAGUUGGUGGGGUAAAGGCUCACCAAGCCGACGAUCUGUAGCUGGUCUGAGAGGACGACGAGCCACACUGGGACUGAGACACGGCCCAGACUCCUACGGGAGGCAGCAGUGGGGAAUUUUGGACAAUGGGCGAAGGCCUGAUCCAGCCAUGCCGCGUGUAGGAUGAAGGCCUUCGGGUUGUAAACUGCUUUUGUACGGAACGAAAAGGUUUGGCCUAAUAAGCUGAGCUCAUGACGGUACCGUAAGAAUAAGCACCGGCUAACUACGUGCCAGCCGCCGCCGUAA